rnacentral:rRNA from 1 species
AGAGUUUGAUCCUGGCUCAGAACGAACGCUGGCGGCGUGGAUAAGACAUGCAAGUCGAACGAGAGAAUUGCUAGCUUGCUAAUAAUUCUCUAGUGGCGCACGGGUGAGUAACACGUGAGUAACCUGCCCCCGAGAGCGGGAUAGCCCUGGGAAACUGGGAUUAAUACCGCAUAGUAUCGAAAGAUUAAAGCAGCAAUGCGCUUGGGGAUGGGCUCGCGGCCUAUUAGUUAGUUGGUGAGGUAACGGCUCACCAAGGCGAUGACGGGUAGCCGGUCUGAGAGGAUGUCCGGCCACACUGGAACUGAGACACGGUCCAGACACCUACGGGUGGCAGCAGUCGAGAAUCAUUCACAAUGGGGGAAACCCUGAUGGUGCGACGCCGCGUGGGGGAAUGAAGGUCUUCGGAUUGUAAACCCCUGUCAUGUGGGAGCAAAUUAAAAAGAUAGUACCACAAGAGGAAGAGACGGCUAACUCUGUGCCAGCAGCCGCGGUAAUACAGAGGUCUCAAGCGUUGUUCGGAAUCACUGGGCGUAAAGCGUGCGUAGGCUGUUUCGUAAGUCGUGUGUGAAAGGCGCGGGCUCAACCCGCGGACGGCACAUGAUACUGCGAGACUAGAGUAAUGGAGGGGGAACCGGAAUUCUCGGUGUAGCAGUGAAAUGCGUAGAUAUCGAGAGGAACACUCGUGGCGAAGGCGGGUUCCUGGACAUUAACUGACGCUGAGGCACGAAGGCCAGGGGAGCGAAAGGGAUUAGAUACCCCUGUAGUCCUGGCAGUAAACGGUGCACGCUUGGUGUGCGGGGAAUCGACCCCCUGCGUGCCGGAGCUAACGCGUUAAGCGUGCCGCCUGGGGAGUACGGUCGCAAGAUUAAAACUCAAAGAAAUUGACGGGGACCCGCACAAGCGGUGGAGUAUGUGGCUUAAUUCGAUGCAACGCGAAGAACCUUACCUGGGCUUGACAUGUAAUGAACAACAUGUGAAAGCAUGCGACUCUUCGGAGGCGUUACACAGGUGCUGCAUGGCCGUCGUCAGCUCGUGUCGUGAGAUGUUUGGUUAAGUCCAGCAACGAGCGCAACCCCUGUUGCCAAUUACCAGCACGUGAAGGUGGGGACUCUGGCGAGACUGCCCAGAUCAACUGGGAGGAAGGUGGGGACGACGUCAGGUCAGUAUGGCCCUUAUGCCCAGGGCUGCACACGUACUACAAUGCCCAGUACAGAGGGGGCCGAAGCCGCGAGGCGGAGGAAAUCCUAAAAACUGGGCCCAGUUCGGACUGUAGGCUGCAACCCGCCUACACGAAGCCGGAAUCGCUAGUAAUGGCGCAUCAGCUACGGCGCCGUGAAUACGUUCCCGGGUCUUGCACACACCGCCCGUCA